GGUGCUAAGGCUUAAUAAAGGAAGUGAGUGAAAUUCUCACACAGUAAUUUUUACUGCUGUAAGGUGGACGAAAUCACAAUAACCACUGGGAGACCGGGAAGGUGUGAAAGUAGGAUGAAGCUAAGUCAGAAGACUUACCAAUUGUCA
rnacentral:ncRNA from 1 species